rnacentral:rRNA from 1 species
AGGUUGACCUCGGAUCAGGUAGGGAUACCCGCUGAACUUAAGCAUAUCAAUAAGCGGAGGAAAAGAAACCAACAGGGAUUGCCUCAGUACGGCGAGUGAAGCGGCAAGAGCUCAAAUUUGAAAUCCGGCCCCUCUGGGGGCCUGAGUUGUAAUUUGCAGAGGAUGCUUCGGGCGCGACCGCGGUCCAAGUCCCCUGGAACGGGGCGUCGUAGAGGGUGAGAAUCCCGUCUCCGGCCGGCCGGUCUCGCCCGUGUGAAGCUCCUUCGACGAGUCGAGUUGUUUGGGAAUGCAGCUCCAAAUGGGUGGUAAAUUUCAUCUAAAGCUAAAUACUGGUCGGAGACCGAUAGCGCACAAGUAGAGUGAUCGAAAGAUGAAAAGCACUUUGAAAAGAGAGUUAAACAGCAUGUGAAAUUGUUGAAAGGGAAGCGCUUGCGACCAGAGUCGGCCGCGGGGGUUCAGCGGGCAUUCGUUGCCCGUGCAAUCCCCCGCGGCCGGGCCAGCGUCGGUUUCGACGGCCGGUCAAAGGCCCCCGGAAUGUGUCGCCUCUCGGGGCGUCUUAUAGCCGGGGGUGCAAUGCGGCCAGUCGGGACCGAGGAACGCGCUCCGGCACGGACGCUGGCUUAAUGGUCGUCAGCGACCCG